rnacentral:rRNA from 2 species
UUCCGGUUGAUCCCGCCGGACCUGACUGCUAUCGGAUUGAUACUAAGCCAUGCGAGUCAUUGUAGCAAUACAAGGCAUACGGCUCAGUAACGCGUAGUCAACCUAACCUAUGGACGGGAAUAACCUCGGGAAACUGAGAAUAAUGCCCGAUAGAACAUUAUGCCUGGAAUGGUUUAUGUUCCAAAUGAUUUAUCGCCGUAGGAUGGGACUGCGGCCUAUCAGUUUGUUGGUGAGGUAAUGGCCCACCAAGACUAUUACAGGUACGGGCUCUGAGAGGAGUAGCCCGGAGAUGGGUACUGAGACACGGACCCAGGCCCUAUGGGGCGCAGCAGGCGAGAAAACUUUGCAAUGUGCGAAAGCACGACAAGGUUAAUCCGAGUGGUUUCUGCUAAAGAAACCUUUUGUCAGUCCUAGAAACACUGAUGAAUAAGGGGUGGGCAAGUUCUGGUGUCAGCCGCCGCGGUAAAACCAGCACCUCAAGUGGUCAGGAUGAUUAUUGGGCCUAAAGCAUCCGUAGCCGGCUCUGUAAGUUUUCGGUUAAAUCUGUACGCUCAACGUACAGGCUGCCGGGAAUACUGCAGAGCUAGGGAGUGGGAGAGGUAGACGGUACUCGGUAGGAAGGGGUAAAAUCCUUUGAUCUAUUGAUGACCACCUGUGGCGAAGGCGGUCUACCAGAACACGUCCGACGGUGAGGGAUGAAAGCUGGGGGAGCAAACCGGAUUAGAUACCCGGGUAGUCCCAGCUGUAAACUAUGCAAACUCAGUGAUGCAUUGGCUUGUGGCCAAUGCAGUGCUGCAGGGAAGCCGUUAAGUUUGCCGCCUGGGAAGUACGUACGCAAGUAUGAAACUUAAAGGAAUUGGCGGGGGAGCACACAG